rnacentral:rRNA from 1 species
UACGAAGGGGGCUAGCGUUGCUCGGAAUCACUGGGCGUAAAGCGCACGUAGGCGGCUUUCUAAGUCAGGGGUGAAAUCCUGGAGCUCAACUCCAGAACUGCCUUUGAUACUGGAGAGCUCGAGUCCGGAAGAGGUGAGUGGAACUCCGAGUGUAGAGGUGAAAUUCGUAGAUAUUCGGAAGAACACCAGUGGCGAAGGCAGCUCACUGGUCCGGUACUGACGCUGAUGUGCGAAAGCGUGGGGAGCAAACAGG